GUUUGAACCACUGUAACUGUGAAUGCUGAGGGCUUCCAGAGAUGUAAAGGAAAUCUGUCAAGUAUGUGUUUCUCCAAUGAUAACCAAGAUUUAUUUGACUAAUCAAGUUAGAUAUGUAGAUUACCCAUUCUUAUCUUGUACUUCUCUUGAAUCCCUCCCAAAACUUUCCAACAUUGUUGUGCCAGUACAGAGCUUGCUGGCUAGUUGGAGGUAAAACUCUUGUAUUUAUCAUCCUAGACUGUCUUCAAACCUCUAUCCUAAAAUCUAAGCCUCUGAGUAGCUAGGAUUACAAGUAUGAGUCACUGGACCUUGGGUCCACCAUUUUCUUGUCUAAGGAAAAUAUUUGCUUAAGGAAAACAAGUACUCUGGUUCUAGAGAUCUGGACAUUGACAAACCUUUACAUAAUGUCCAUGCAAGACCUUACAAAAGAUCUGGAGUCAGCUGAAUUCAGGUAACUGUUUCUAGAAAAUGGUGCUGGCUUCUGGGAGACUCUGCAAUGACCCAUAACGUGAGAUAAAAGAGACAAUCACUAAGGCAUCUAUUUCCUCUUCCUCUACUU